rnacentral:rRNA from 1 species
UACGAAGGGUGCAAGCGUUAAUCGGAAUUACUGGGCGUAAAAGGUGCGUAGGCGGUUCGUUAAGUCUGUCGUGAAAUCCCCGGGCUCAACCUGGGAAUGGCGAUGGAUACUGGCGAGCUAGAGUGUGUCAGAGGAUGGUGGAAUUCCCGGUGUAGCGGUGAAAUGCGUAGAGAUCGGGAGGAACAUCAGUGGCGAAGGCGGCCAUCUGGGACAACACUGACGCUGAAGCACGAAAGCGUGGGGAGCAAACAGG